rnacentral:rRNA from 1 species
CGCGAAAGUAGAUGAGCUACGUAAAUGUAAUUAUUAGAUUUAACAUAUGUGACAUAAUAUAAGAAAAUAUUUACUUAGGGGUGAUAGGCUUCCCAAAUCUACUGAUAUCUCGAUACUUAGGAAAAACAUUUAGUGUUUAAACAAUUAGGUAGUGAUUAGGCUACUUAAAAUCAUUAAGUUUCAUAUUCCUUUUUUGUUUUGAUUUAAAUAUUAAAUAUUAUACAAUAAUAAUAUUUAUGUGAAAAUACGUUGUGAAUUUUAUUAAGUUUCAUUAAAAUUUUUAACUGUGUUGAAAAUGUAUCUAUUAGUAAUAACUUAAAUAUUUAAAAUGAACUCGGCAACAUAUCCUUCAACUGUUUACCAAAAACAUAAUUACGAGUAUAUAUUCGUAAUGGUUUCUGCUCAAUGAAAAUUAAAUAGCCGCAGUACCCUGACUGUGCAAAGGUAGCGUAAUAAUUUGACUUAUAAUUGAAGUCCUGUAUGAAUGAAUAUAUGGGGGAUAACUUUAUCUUAAAUAAAUGUUGAAUUUGCUUUUAAAGUGCAAAAUCUUUAAGAAAAAUGAUAGACGAGAAGACCCUUGAAAUUUAUAUAACAGUGUAUACAUAUCUUUUUGUUGGGGCAACAAAGUAACAAGUAAUUUACUUUAAUUUGACUAGAACAUCUUUGUGAAAGAUAAAAUUACUCAAGGGAUAACAGCGUAAUUUUUAAAAGUUUGCGACCUCGAUGUUGGACUAGGAAAGGAUUGUUCAGAA